UGGAAGUAAAAAUCGUAACAAGGUUUCCGUAGGUGAACCUGCGGAAGGAUCAUUACCGAGUGCGGGUCCUUUGGGCCCAACCUCCCAUCCGUGUCUAUUGUACCCUGUUGCUUCGGCGGGCCCGCCGCUUGUCGGCCGCCGGGGGGGCGCCUCUCCCCCCGGGCCCGUGCCCGCCGGAGACCCCAACACGAACACUGUCUGAAAGCGUGCAGUCUGAGUUGAUUGAAUGCAAUCAGUUAAAACUUUCAACAAUGGAUCUCUUGGUUCCGGCAUCGAUGAAGAACGCAGCGAAAUGCGAUAACUAAUGUGAAUUGCAGAAUUCAGUGAAUCAUCGAGUCUUUGAACGCACAUUGCGCCCCCUGGUAUUCCGGGGGGCAUGCCUGUCCGAGCGUCAUUGCUGCCCUCAGCCCGGCUUGUGUGUUGGGUCGCCGUCCCCCUCUCCGGGGGGACGGGCCCGAAAGGCAGCGGCGGCACCGCGUCCGAUCCUCGAGCGUAUGGGGCUUUGUCACAUGCUCUGUAGGAUUGGCCGGCGCCUGCCGACGUUUUCCAACCAUUCUUCCAGGUGACCUCGAUCAGUACGUUA
rnacentral:rRNA from 1 species